GUAUGAACGGCAAAACCUCUUCCAACUGUCUCCCCUCCCAUCCUUUUAAAUUUCCUCCUGUGUGAAGAAGCACAGAUACAUCAGAAAGACGAGAAGACCCUGUCGAGCUUUAACCACUAAGUGGGCCUUACCCUUUUCAGGCACCACCCAAAGGUUUUGGUUGGGGCAACCAUGGAGAAAAAAGAUCCUCCAGAACAAAUAGAAGAAAGCUUUUCACUAUUUUACGACUGAGAACCAGGAACUGGUAUUCGGAAAAAGUUACCGCAGGGAUAACAGCGUCAUCUCCUCUAAGAGUCCUUAUUGACGAGGAGGUUUGCGACCUCGAUGUUGGAUUGGGGCCCCCUUAGGGUGCAGAAGCUCUAAACGGUUAGACUGUUCGUCUAUUAAAGCCCUACAUGAUCUGA
rnacentral:rRNA from 1 species